rnacentral:rRNA from 1 species
UACGGGGGGGGCAAGCGUUGUUCGGAAUUACUGGGCGUAAAGGGCUCGUAGGUGGCCAACUAAGUCAGACGUGAAAUCCCUCGGCUUAACAGGGGAACUGCGUCUGAUACUGGAUGGCUUGAGUUCGGGAGAGGGAUGCGGAAUUCCAGGUGUAGCGGUGAAAUGCGUAGAUAUCUGGAGGAACACCGGUGGCGAAGGCGGCAUCCUGGACCGACACUGACACUGAGGAGCGAAAGCCAGGGGAGCAAACGGG